rnacentral:rRNA from 1 species
GAGGCACGCAAGGGCUGUCGCUGACUUUUGACGCAAAAGUUGUGCACGCCGGAGUGUGUCCUCUCACAUAAAAUCCAUCUCACCCUUUUGUGCACCACCGCGUGGGCACCCCUUCGGGAUCAAACUGAUCCAGGAGGGGGCUUGCGUUUUCACACAAACCCCNUUUUUAAAAAGUGUAGAAUGACCUCAUUUUUGCGAUAACACGCAAUCAAUACAACUUUCAACAACGGAUCUCUUGGCUCUCGCAUCGAUGAAGAACGCAGCGAAAUGCGAUACGUAAUGUGAAUUGCAGAAUUCAGUGAAUCAUCGAAUCUUUGAACGCACCUUGCGCCCCUUGGUAUUCCGAGGGGCACACCCGUUUGAGUGUCGUGAAAAUCUCAACCUUCUCGGUUUUCUUCUGGAUGCCGAGGGAGGCUUGGACUUUGGAGGCCUUUGCUGGCGUCUCUCGCCAGCUCCUCUCAAAUGAAUUAGCGGGGUCCUCUUUGCCGGUCCUCGACAUGUGAUAAGAUGUUUCCAUGUCUUGGUUUCUGGCUCUGUUGCCUUUGGGACCCGCUUCUAACCGUCUCAACGACGAUGUUUGUGAGCGCGUCUCCCUUCUCGGGAAACUCUCUCUCAAACCCCACGAACCCUUGA